rnacentral:lncRNA from 1 species
CCCCAUCCGCCGCCGCUACAAGCAACCCUGGGAUUGCGACGACCUCAGCCAUGAGAUGCGGUGCUAGAAGUUAGCUUAUUUUUUCUCGAUGAGGCAUUCCUUUCUUAUUGUCUGUUUGGUUUGUGAAUUUUUGCUACUACUGACAGGGAAUAGAACAGCCUUUGAACUUCUAUAUUUUUGCUCCAGGUGCAUGGUAUGGCUGCCAUCGUCUGCUGCUAGCUACCGUUGCCUCUGCGGUCCGCUGCUAGCUGCCGCUGUAGUCCGCUGCUAGCUUCGCUGCAGUCCACCGCUAGCUCAUGCGGGGAGGUGGUGCUGCUCUGACAACUCCUUCCUCGAGCAUAGCCAGUCUCCAGCCGCCUCCAACAGCCGCAACCCGCCAGAUCCGACAGAUGCUCAUGCGUGGGAGUGAUGUUACUCCGACGAGCUCCUUCAUCCCCGAGCAAAGCGCGUAGACAAUAGCCUCCUUCCUCUCGUUCCCUCUUCCAUCUGCCAAGCACAAUUCCGGCGAGCUUGUCGACCAGUGAGUCCUAUUGCCGCUGAUGCUACUAUUGAUCACCAUCGCGUGGCUAUAGAGCAUCCAUGGAAGGUCGACUAAAAUUGUCAUCGCAGGUCGAGUAAUAGUGGCAGCGACAACACAGCCACACGUGGCUAAAAAUGCAUGGUGAUAAUUGAAAGUCUGAGCGUGAGAGAGUUUUCGGAGCACAUGUUUUCUGUUUGCUGCAAAAACACAAAAAAGUUGGCCAUGUGUGUUGGCCAUAUGCCCGUGAGACUGAAAACUGUUCUCAUUUCAUGUCAGCCAAAAGAGAAAUUGUGGAUGUGUUGUGCGUGUGCGUAUGCGCGCAGGUUACACUGAAUUAAAAAAACUACUUUUUGUCAUGUUUUUCCAUAUUAGUUUUGUAGUGUUAGUUUUUUGUGUUCAUGGAGUAAAAAAAUAGGAAGUUCAAUUUUGAGAAAGCAGCGAGUUCAACCAAUAUGGAUACACUAAAAAAUACAUUGAAUACAAUAUUUUUUAGUGAGGUUCAAAUUGGAAAGACAUGAUAAAAAGGUAUUUUCUGCUCCUUACAAUAAAAAAGGUAUCAUGGGUUGGUUGGUUUCCCCAACUAGUUUCUCU